CCGAGAUAGGGGUACAAAUCCUGCCAAAGGCGUUUCCCUGGACCUAAGCGAUGAUGCGCAAGCUAGCGACGACUCUCGGCGUGUAGAGGGGGCGAGUUCCGAUUCGAAGGGAAGCCCCUCUCAC
rnacentral:sRNA from 12 species